UUUGUUUGUCUGGCGACCAAAAACAGUCGGUGGAUAUCUUAUCACUGGGCCUCAGUCGGGUUAGGGGAGAGCGCGAGAGAGACACAACAGGCGUCUCGCGUUAAGAGGCUUGAGAAACGACUACGAAGGAGAACAGUUUUCCUUCGUGGAUAAGCAAGAAACACGAGACUGGCGAUGGCUGGCAAGCGUCUUCUCCUCGUAACCAUGGUUACGAUGUGUCUAUUACAACACUGCGUCACCAAGGAAACCGGAAAGGAAAGCAAGAGCAAGGGUAAACCGGAAACAAAGCCCGGCAGAGGCGGAAGUGACGUAGGCGGUGGUGGCCUGCUGGGCACGCUGGGAUUUUUCGGCGCCUGGUACCUGGGCUGGGGAGGGGUAGCGCUGGCCAUCUACGUGGGGUCAAGGGUCGCGCAACGGUUCGAGCUUUGGGACUUCAAGUAGCAGCGUCAAGGUCGCAUAACACAGUAUUUAUGGGCAACCCCAUUGGUCAAAAUUAUGUCAGGCACGAAAUAGUGCGUCGCAGUUCAAGCUUGAAAGAGCCAUAGAAAUAUUUCUGUGCACGUCAGCGAGUUGAAAACAUCGGUGGAUAGUACAGCGGUUCGAGCUUUGGAACUUCAAGUAGCAGCUUCAAGUUCUCUUCCGGAAAUUGUGUGGUGCUUCUUUAUACUGAGACUAUGUAUUUAGAUUUAUUGAAAUUGCAAACAAUGCAAAACAUGGCAACCCUGGUAUUGCUAAUGAGCUUAGCUGAUAUUGGGUGCCCGGACAUACGUACAUUUACACCUCUCAUUGAAUCAACAUAAUAAACUCAACUGGUUAACGUACUUCAAAUGAAACAACAAGAUGUGUGAAAGUAAAAGAAAGGAAAUGGUAACUUUAAUGGAGACAGGACAUUAUAAUAUUACGAUUUUAGUUGUAACUUGGAAUAAGCUUCUUCUCCACGUGUCAGCCACCGCAAUUAAACAUUCAAAGUUUGAAACUUUGUUGGGCAAAAGUUAGUAGUACAUGUCUGCAUCUAGGGUCUGUUUUACGCUGUGUUUUAGACUUAUUUGAUCCUCAUAGAACCCCCUUUUUUUGAAAUUGUAAGAAAUAGCGAAUAGACAUGGUUGAAAAUUUGA